rnacentral:rRNA from 1 species
AGAUUGAACGCUGGCGGCGUGCUUAACACAUGCAAGUCGAGCGGCAGCGCGGGAGCAAUCCUGAUGGCGAGUGGCGAACGGGUGAGUAAUGCAUCGGAACGUACCCGGAAGUGGGGGAUAACGUAGCGAAAGUUACGCUAAUACCGCAUAUUCUGUGAGCAGGAAAGCGGGGGAUCGCAAGACCUCGCGCUUCCGGAGCGGCCGAUGUCGGAUUAGCUAGUUGGCGGGGUAAAGGCCCACCAAGGCAACGAUCCGUAGCGGGUCUGAGAGGAUGAUCCGCCACACUGGGACUGAGACACGGCCCAGACUCCUACGGGAGGCAGCAGUGGGGAAUUUUGGACAAUGGGCGCAAGCCUGAUCCAGCCAUGCCGCGUGAGUGAAGAAGGCCUUCGGGUUGUAAAGCUCUUUCGGCUGGGAAGAAAUCGCAUCUCCUAAUACGGGGUGUGGAUGACGGUACCAGCAUAAGAAGCACCGGCUAACUACGUG